GGGUCAGUAGGUUGGUCGUGCCACCGGUACGUAUUGGUCUCACUGAUUCCUCCUUCCUGAAGAACCGUAAUGCCAUUAAUUUGGUGUUGCGGGGAAACAGGACUGUUACUUUGAAAAAAUUAGAGUGUUUAAAGCAAGCUAACGCUUGAAUACAUUAGCAUGGAAUAAACAAAUAGGACGAUCGAUCCUAUUUUGUUGGUUUCUAGGAUUGACGUA
rnacentral:rRNA from 1 species